GUAGGUUGCGAGCGUUGUCCGGAUUUACUGGGCGUAAAGCGCGCGCAGGUGGUCCUGAAAGUCGAGCGUGAAAGCUCCCGGCCCAACUGGGAGAGGCCGUUCGAAACUUCAGGACUUGAAGGCGGGAGAGGCAAAUGGAAUUUCCGGUGUAGCGGUAAAAUGCGUAGAUACCGGAAGGAACACCAGCGGCGAAAGCGAUUUGCUGGCCCGCCCUUGACACUCAGGCGCGAAAGCUAGGGGAGCGACCGGGAUUAGAUACCCCGUUAGUCCUAGCCGUAAACAAUGGGCACUAGGUGUUGUCGGUAUCGACCCCGGCAGUGCCGAAGCUAACGCAUUAAGUGCCCCGCCUGGGGAGUACGACCGCAAGGUUA
rnacentral:rRNA from 1 species